rnacentral:rRNA from 1 species
UUUAUGGAGAGUUUGAUCCUGGCUCAGGAUGAACGCUGGCGGCGUGCCUAAUACAUGUAAGUCG